UAAAUAAUUAGACACGAAAUAUUGAUCUGAGUCGAUCUGAGUCCGCUUCCGCGGAGAGAGCAGUUGCUUGCGUGGCAAGUUCAAACUAGACAGAAACACAUUUAAGAGAUACGGUAUAGACAUCGCUGAGUGUAACAGCUGCAGGCUGAAGAGGAUCCGCAGUGUUCAAUGAAUCAUGACGUGUGAAGAGAACAGAACAAAACUACCCUAUAGCAUAGAUUCAGGGCCUUUUUGAAGCAUGGUGUGCUGCUGGCCAAACAUCUUUAUUGAAUUACAUAAUCCAUAUGAAGGUCUAUGUAGUGUGUAAAAGUGCUUGUCACAUGAUUCAUAACAUGUCCAGCUGCGUUAAGCCUCUCCUUAGACUCUCCUUUCCCUUUCUUUUUGAAUUUCAGGCUUUUUGGCACAUUAUAUAAUUCAGAGAAAGUGGAGAGAUCUGGGGAGAGACAUAA